AUUGAACGCUGGCGGCAGGCCUAACACAUGCAAGUCGAACGAGUGGCGGACGGGUGAGUAAUGUCUGGGAAACUGCCUGAUGGAGGGGGUUAACUACUGGAAACGGUAGCUAAUACCGCAUACCAUAGGAUGAGCCCAUAUGGGAUUAGGUAUUUGGUGAGGUAAAGGCUCACCAAGGCGACGAUCCCUAGCUGGUCUGCGAGGAUGACCAGGCACACUGGGACUGAGACACGGCCCAGACUCAUACGGGAGGCAGCAGUGGGGAAUAUUGGGCAAUGGGGGCAACACUGACGCAGCCAUGCCGCGUGAAUGAAGAAGGCUUGCGGGUUGUAAAGUACUUUCAGUAGCGAGGCGUUAACCACAGAAGAAGCACCGGCUAACUCCGUGCCAGCAGCCGCGGUAAUUC
rnacentral:rRNA from 1 species